AGAGAGAGACAUGCGCGCAUAUCAAUAAGCGGAGGAAAAGAAACUAACAAGGAUUCCCCUAGUAACGGCGAGUGAAGCGGGAAGAGCUCAAAUUUGAAAUCUUAAAGGGUUUCCCUUUACGAAUUGUAGUUUAAAGAAGUGUUUUCUGUUGAGGUUUUGGUAAAAGUUCUUUGGAAUAGGACAUCAUAGAGGGUGAGAAUCCCGUAUUUGACCUUUACUUUCAACUUUGUGAUACACUUUCAAAGAGUCGGAUUGUUUGGGAAUGCAGUCCAAAAUGGGUGGUAAAUUUCAUCUAAAGCUAAAUAUUGGCGAGAGACCGAUAGCGAACAAGUACCGUGAGGGAAAGAUGAAAAGAACUUUGAAAAGAGAGUUAAACAGUACGUGAAAUUGUCAAAAGGGAAGCGUUUGACACCAGUGUUGUUUUUCUGAAAAUCAAUUAAAGAACUGUUUAUGCUAAGUUGUUUAGACUUUAUCAGCUAACUGUUUAGUUUUGAGCUUUUCUUUAAUGCACUUUUCAGUUAACAAGUCAACAUCAAUUUCUUUUGCUGUAAAAAAGCUUGAGGAAGGUGGCUUGAGAUUCGUCUUAAGUGUUUAUAGCCUCUUGCCUAUGCAGUCGGAGAGAUUGAGGUCUGCAGCGUAGAUCCUUCGGGGCUAAAUGCAUUUGUGCUAAGUUAUAACAUUUUAUAGACAACUUGUUGACUAUGAUUUGUCUUGUAGCUUACUCGCUUAUGUAAUUUUACCUACGCUUAGGAUGUUGAGCGCAUGUCUCUCUCU
rnacentral:rRNA from 1 species